GACGUAGGGGGCGAGCGUUGCCCGGAUUUACUGGGCGUAAAGCGGGUGUAGGCGGCCGGGUAAGUCCCGUGUGAAAGCCCACGGCUCAACCGUGGGACGUCGCGGGAAACUGCCCGGCUUGAGGGCAGCAGAGGGUGGUGGAAUUCCCGGUGUAGCGGUGAAAUGCGUAGAGAUCGGGAGGAACGCCAGUGGCGAAGGCGGCCACCUGGGCUGUCCCUGACGCUCAGA
rnacentral:rRNA from 1 species